AAAAAAAAAAAGGAAAACAGGAAAUGGAAGAGCCAGAAAAUGAAAAGUUUUAUCCUCCAAGUUGAGAAUUUUGUGUACAAGUAUAAAGUCGUCUCUUUUCUCCCCUUUGUUACCUAUGAAGCAUUUUACCACAUUCAGGAAGAAGAAAGACUAAAAUGGGACCUACUCCCUCACUAGAAAUGUAGUUGUUGGAGGGUUUUUUCCUUGCUGAAAAAGAAAAUAAACACAACCAGAAACCGCAUGAGCCAAAGAAAACAGCUGGAUGUUCACUCGUAUCAGCCUGGCAGGCACUGUCCUUUGGGAUUUCCAGCCCACACCCCCUGCUGCCCUGAUUCCCUUCCUCCACUUCUCUCUUUGCGGAGAGAGGGAUCACUGCUUUCAGGAAUCCUCUUUGUGUUGGAAUUUUCAGCUCUGACUCCCCAGGCCUAGGGCCGUCAGUCUAAACACACAGCUGUUCCCAACCUCCCACCUCCCCAUUCUCUCCCUGCCCCAGCCACAGACCACCUCGCCUGCCUCUGAAAUGGCAAGCAGAUCUGCUCUUUCUGGAUGAUUUCCCAGAGCUUCUCAGCCAAGACAACUGAUGGCAGAGACUAAAUCCCUCACAUUUCUCCAUCAAAUCAAUGGCAAUGGUUCCCUUUUUUGCCAGCAGGAGCAGCCAGAGUGAUUUUCUGCCUAGAGACAGACCAUCUGUCUGGGGCAAGAGGGUGGGUGUGGCACUGCUGGACUUGAAUCACUUAGAAAACAAGCUGUUUUUCUGGGACGAAUUUAGGAGGUUUAUUGACUUCAUGGAAGUUGGAGGAGAAAGUUCAGCUGCAUUUAAAAAUGGUGGCCGCUGGUUGCUCCUACUGAUAAUGAAGACUCAGAGUCCUGAGUUCAAAGACUGUCUCCCCAGUAUGUUUUAUGGGCUCCAGAGGUUCACGUGGUUGUUGCUGGUGGCUGCAAGGAGAGCUGUGCAGGUCCCUGCUUUACUGGAAGGCUCACACCAGCUGAUGGCGAGACCAGGAAAGGGACGUCCAAGCAGGAGAUGCCAGAGCACGGGGGUGGCUACAGAGGAUCAUACGGAGUACCCCAUGACCCCAGGAGAUGCUGAAGCCACCAGGUGAAAAGAGCCUGAGUCUAUGAAGGACUGGAUGGAUCAGGCCCCUUCCAACCUCCACCGGACUGUGACCUAAAUCUUUGCACAUGGGACAAAGAAGAGCUCUCCGAAUUGAAACACAUAUUUUAUUGAUGAAUCCUAGUUCACCAGCCUGUGCUCACUUUUAGAGAAGGGUCUCUGACUUGAACCAAAGCACCCUACCAUCAGGUAAUCAUGUAAUUUAUAUAUAUAAAAGUGACCAGGACACUUUUGAGGAUAAAGGGGGACAUAAUUACACUGGCUUUAUAGGCAUAAACAGGAACUGUGCCAGACAAACCAGGACGUUUGGUGGCCAUACCCAUAGGAGACCUUGUGAUUGACGCCCCAACUUCUACUCCAGCCCAAAUGAUUCUUCUAAGAUAGUGGUCCUCAAAGUGUGGUCCCAGAUCAGCAGUACUGGGAUCACAAGAUAAUGCAUUAGAAAUGCAAAUGCCAACCCUAGACCUACUGAGGCAGGACAAGGCAACAAAGUAUGCUUGCACAAGCCCUCCAGGUGAUUCCAAUGCAGGCUGAAUGAAGUUUGCAAUCCACUGGUGUAAGCCAAUCAUGCUAUUCCUUUUCCUUCAUCAGUGAUGGGUUUAGGAAUAGGCAGGCCUAAAGCCAGUUUGAGCCAAUGAAAUAUAAAGAAAGUUAAAGAUUUCUGGAAAAGAUAACUCAAUCCCUCUUUUGUUGAAUGUGAACAGGGAAAUAUAACAUCUGGUUAUUGAAGGUGACUCUGUAGAGACAUGAAAAGAACCCCACCCUGUUUGACUGCUGGAUCAAGCCACCCAGAAGCCCAUCCAACCUCUGAACUAUGUGAAAGAAUUAAUUUGCAGACAUCAUUUCAGUUUCAACUAGCUGAAGGCAUCCUUGCACACUAGUGUUCAUUCCCACUUUUCUUGACACUGUACCUUCUCCCACAAUGCCAUCCUCGCUCACAUUUCUGCCUUCAGUCCUCACCCCCUUCCCCUCCUUCCAAGUCCAAGUCACUCCCUCCUUCUUAAAAGUCAUCCUGAUGGCUCCACCCCACAUCCUCCUCUUCAGGAUUCACUUAACUUUCUGAGCCACUGAUCUGUUUUCAUCGUAUACUAACUUCUACUGCUUCCUCUUAAGUCUAUGUGCCUUAUCAUGUGUAAGUGCUUGGCACUGGCUUUGCGUGUGCCACUCCAGGGAAGCUCAGGAGACAUUUCCUAUAGUUGGUGAUUCCAUUGGUCCAUGGAGAUAGGGGUUGUUGUGCUGCCAGCUGCCACUGUUAGCAACUCUCCCCCCCAUCACAGAGUUCCUUGUCUGUGACUGCCUCACCAAACCCUGACUUAACUAUAGCUCUAAUCCCACUGCAGCCUAAAAUUAGAAUUAGAUAACUUUAUGACAUCUAUUAGCUGGAAUCUCCAUGAACAAAAAGACAUAGGCCACCCAGGUAAAUGCUUGGUUACCCUCACAGGAUGGGACAUUACUGCACUGAGGCAGGUCUGUGUGGUAAGUAGGAAAUGGAGUUUCCAGAUCAUCAUUAGCACCCAACCCCUUUUUCUGUAUUUGCUUUCUGCAGAAACUGGAUCCCACCAGUGGGGUUGUAUUUUGUGGCAGGAAGCUAAGGGUGUGAGAAGAUACGUGAGACAGAGAUUACUCUGGCUUCUAAGAAGACAGUGUAGCUUAAUGUUUGAGGAUGUGGGUUUUAGAACCAGACUACUUGGAUCUGACGCUUGGUGGGGAGACUGCUCUCUCUUUCUAAUCUUGGGCAAGUUAUUUGACUUCUCUGACUGCGUUUCCUAAUCUGUGAAGUGGGGAUAAAAAUCACACCUAUCUCAUUUUCUGGCCUGAGAAAUUAAUAAGAUCAUGUAUGUAAAAUACCUGGCAUCAUGCCUGACACGUGGCAAGCUCUUGAUAGAUUGUUAGGAACCUCUCUGUCCCUCAGUGCUAGCUUCCCCGCUCCCUGUGAUGGCAGGAGGUGAAGGGCCUUAUACUUCUCUGUUCACAGGCAGGGCAGUGAAGAGAAGAAACUGGAGUCUCCAGAGCAGCUCUAGAGAGAGCAGGCUUUGCCCAGGCUUUCAGCCUGCCCUGCAGCUGUGGUUUAGCAUCUGAAUGUAAAAAUUACCAAUAUCCUCCUCAGCACUACACGUCUCCCCUCCCCCACCUCCCCACCCACCACCCGGUCACAAAUAGUCUCCUACAAAGCAAGGAAGCUCUGUGGUUGCUAUUAGCUUGCUACAGCUCCCUCAUGCUUAAUGGUUUAGAAAGCCCUUUCCCAUCUGUUCGCUCACUUGGCCCACAUACCAGCCCCAUGCAGAACCCAGGGGGCAGCUUUUGUUGGUCCCAAGUUACCCUUUAGAAAAGUGAAAUUCAGAGUGAUUAUGGGACUUGCCAAAGGCUGCACAGUCAGGAAGUUACAGAGCCAGGACUCAGAGAUGUUCUGACUCCGACUUAGUCAUCUGCCCACCCCCUGCACAGCCCAUAUGUCCUGCACAUGGAAUGACAUUUUCCAAAGAAAAGCACAAUGUGUUUGUUGUACAUGUAAGAUUAUUUUAGCCAAAUUGUAGAAUAGUUUUAAAAAAAGAAUGGUAAGUAGUAUUACACUUCUCUCCACCCCCACCUCCCUCUCCAGGAUCGUUUGCUUAAAGGAUCAAGUAUCAAGUAUGCAUAUGGCUGCCAAGAAAAAGAGGGAAUAGGUCUGCCUUUCAGUUCAUUAUCUAAAAAGUACUUUUUGGAGGUCUAAUGUGGCUCAGUGGGUCAAGGAUCUGGCAUUGUCAUUGCUGUGUCUUGGGUUCAAUCCUUGGCCCAGGAACUUCUGCAUACCAUGGAUGUGGCAAAAAAAAAAAAAAAAAGUAUUUAUUGUCAUACCUUAACCUUAAGCAGUAACCAAAUGCUAGUUAACUUUAGUGUUUGCACAAAUCGCUACUUCUUAUGUUUAUUCAAACCAAAAGUUCUAUACUUGACUAUAUAUGGUGAUUCUUUUCCUCCAUUCACAUUCAAGGAAGGAACCUGAAGUGUUUGGAAAGAUUUGGAGAGCUGGGAUCACAGAAUGGUGAAUUCACUGUAAAAAGGAAGAUUCCAAGCACUUGUUUGAAGUAGACGAUCUUAACAGUGUAAAUUGUGUUAAGCAAGCAACUCUGGUUUAGGGCAACUAAUUCUUGUGCAGAAGUUUUGUUUUCAAGCUGCUAGGAACUACAGAUGUGGCCAUCAGUGAGAUGAUCAGUCUUUAAGUCAUCCAUACUCACCAACUGGUGGAAAGAGCCUAGGCUCCAUUGACUACAGACCUGGCUUAGAAUCCAGGCUCUGGCAUUUUCCAGACCUGUGACCUUGAGCAAGUUCCCUGGCCUCUCUGAGUUUUGAUUUUACCUGUAAAAUGGGAGACUAGUACUAACUUUCCAGAUUAGUAGAAAGACUAAAUUAUCUUAAGUAGAAUACCCUAGCACAUAAUGCAUGAUUAAUAAAUGAUGGGUAUAAUUUCUUAUCCUAAGCAAUUAAUGAGAAAUAUAACAUGGUAAUGUUUUCUAAACAAUAUCCUUACAGAUAAUACAAUUUAACAAUAUCAGAAAAAUGAAAAAAAUCCACAGGAAAUUCUCAGCCUGUAUAAUCCCACUUUGGCUUCUAUCAGGCUCAGCCUGUUACUCAAAGACCUUAAUUAUUUGUAGACAAAAGAUUCUGUGUGUCCAUGUAAUGGCUCACUGGAGGGUUUAACAUCAAAACCAGGCUGCUCAAGUCACUCAGUCUUACAUCACACUUGGGACAGUGGAACAGGCCUAGAACUAUGGGUUGUCAUCCCAAUUCUUCCAUUAACUAUUUGAACCAGGGACUAAUUAGAAGCAGGGCAAGUCCCAGUUUUCUUACCUGUAAAUAAGAAGCUUGAUGUACAGUCAAAUUUUGGGGGGAGUCUCAGGAGCUCCUAUUUUGGCUCAGCGGAAAUGAAUCUGACUAGCAUCCAUGAAGAUGUGGGUUCGAUCCCUGGCCUUGCUCAGUGGGUCAGGGAUCCUGCAUUGCCGUGAGCUGUGGUGUAAGUCACAGACGCAGCU